rnacentral:rRNA from 1 species
UACGAAGGAUCCAAGCGUUGUCCGGAUUUACUGGGUUUAAAGGGAGCGUAGGCGGUCUCUUAAGUCAGUGGUGAAAGCCUUCAGCUUAACUGAAGAAUUGCCAUUGAAACUGAGAGACUCGAGUAUGGUUGAGGUCACUGGAAUGUAACAUGUAGCGGUGAAAUGCUUAGAUAUGUUACAGAACACCAAUUGCGAAGGCAGGUGACUAAGCCAUAACUGACGCUGAGGCUCGAAAGCGUGGGGAGCAAACAGG